ensembl:rRNA 5S_rRNA 5S ribosomal RNA
GUCUCAGGCCGGAUCAGCCUGAAGGCGCCCGAUCUGGUCUGAUCUCGGAAGCUAAGCAGGGUCGGGCCUGGUUAGUAUCUUGGAUGGGAGACCACCUGGGAAUCCCGGGUGCUCGAGGCU